rnacentral:rRNA from 1 species
GGGUUGUGAGGUUAAGCGACUAAGCGUACACGGUGGAUGCCCUGGCAGUCAGAGGCGAUGAAGGACGUGCUAAUCUGCGAUAAGCGUCGGUAAGGUGAUAUGAACCGUUAUAACCGGCGAUUUCCGAAUGGGGAAACCCAGUGUGAUUCGUCACACUAUCAUUACGUGAAUACAUAGCGUAAUGAAGCGAACCG